rnacentral:rRNA from 1 species
CGGAUAGGAUCUUCUCCUUCGUGGGAGAUGAUUGAAAGAUGGUUUCGGCUAUCACUUACAGAUGGGCCCGCGGUGCAUUAGCUAGUUGGUGAGGUAACGGCUCACCAGGGCCACGAUGCAUAGCCGACCUGAGAGGGUGAUCGGCCACACUGGGACUGAGACACGGCCCAGACUCCUACGGGAGGCAGCAGUAGGGAAUCUUCCGCAAUGGACGAAAGUCUGACGGAGCAACGCCGCGUGAGUGAUGAAGGCUUUCGGGUCGUAAAACUCUGUUGUUAGGGAAGAACAAGUAUGAGAGUAACUGCUUGUACCUUGACGGUACCUAACCAAAAAGCCACGGCUAACUACGUGCCAGCAGCCGCGGUAAUACGUAGGUGGCAAGCGUUAUCCGGAAUUAUUGGGCGUAAAGCGCGCGCAGGCGGUUUCUUAAGUCUGAUGUGAAAGCCCACGGCUCACCCGUGGAGGGUCAUUGGAAACUGGGGAACUUGAGUGCAGAAGAGAAAAGCGGAAUUCCACGUGUAGCGGUGAAAUGCGUAGAGAUGUGGAGGAACACCAGUGGCGAAGGCGGCUUUUUGGUCUGUAACUGACGCUGACGCGCGAAAGCGUGGGGAGCACACAGGAUUAUAUACCCUGGGUAGUCCCACGCCGUAAACGAAUGAGUGCUAAGUGUUAGAGGGUUUCCCGCCCCUUUUAGUGCUGCAGCUAACGCAUUUAAGCACUCCCGCCCUGGGGGAGUACGGGUCGCCAAGACUGAAACCUCAAAGGAAUUUGACGGGGGCGCCCCGCACAAGCCGGUGGAAGCCAUGGUGGUUUUUAUUUCCAGAGCAACGCAAAAGAAACCUUUUACCGAGGGUUCUUGGACCCUUCCCUUCAUGACCAUACUUCUUAAGAAGAAUAGCAGGCC